rnacentral:misc_RNA from 1 species
AUAUAUAUCAACCUUCUCUCUUGUAGUGAGUGGUUUGGAUGUGGGGGUUUGCUGGCCUCUUUAAAAAAAAAGGGAUCAGCUCUCCUGAAAUGCAUUAGCAGAACAACCCUGUUCAUUGGUGUGAUAACUAUCUGCGCCAUUGAAUGUGAAAGGCAGUUCAGCUUUCUAACGGUCCUUGGACAAAUUCAUUAUUA